AAGCUCAUUCUUUCGGGGAUCAUUUCUAUAGUUUGUUACUACAGAAGUUUCUCUGAGCGUGUAGAGCAUCAGAAACCAUGAAGAUGAAGUGGAUAUUCUCUCCUGAGCACAGCAGGCUCUUGAUGUUGCUUUGCUCCAACAGUCAUUUGUCAUUGAUGGUCGUUCUUCUCUUCCUCCAGGAGACUCAGAGAGAGAGGACACAGCCUCAGUGGU
rnacentral:snoRNA from 1 species